UUUCUGGCCCAGAUCGUUUACCGUGAAAAAAUUAGAGUGUUCAAAGCAGGCAGAUCCAAUUUUCUGCCACCGAAUACAUUAGCAUGGGAUAAUGGAAUAGGACCCUGUCCUCCUAUUUUCAGUUGGUUUUGGCAGCGCGAGGACUAGGGUAAUGAUUAAUAGGGAUAGUUGGGGGCAUUAAUAUUUAAUUGUCAGAGGUGAAAUUCUUGGAUUUAUGAAAGAUUAACUUCUGCGAAAGCAUCUGCCAAGGAUGUUUUCAUUAAUCAAGAACGAAAGUUAGGGGAUCGAAGACGAUCAGAUACCGUCGUAGUCUUAACCAUAAACGAUGCCGACCAGCGAUUAGGAGACGUUGAAUACAAAACACCACCAUCGGUUGCGCGGUCAUCCUUGGCGUCUCGGUUUCGGCCGGGGCGCGGGGAUGGCUAGCCCACGUUGAACCCCACA
rnacentral:rRNA from 1 species